GUGUCAGCAGCCGCGGUAAUACGUAGGUGGCAAGCGUUACUCGGAAUCACUAGGCGUAAAGCGCAGGUAGGCGGUUUGAUAAGUCUCUUGUGAAAGCUCCCGGCUUAACUGGGAGAGGUCAAGGGAAACUGUCAGGCUAGAGUGUGGCAGAGGAAGCUAGAAUUCCUGGUGUAGCGGUGAAAUGCGUAGAUAUCAGGAGGAAUACCUAUGGCGAAAGCAGGCUUCUGGGCUAUCACUGACGCUGAUCUGCGAAAGCUAGGGGAGCAAACAGGAUUAGAUACCCGCGUAGUCC
rnacentral:rRNA from 1 species